AGAGGCUUUGCAGAGGAUAGUACCUCAACAAUACAAACUUUUCCUCUCCCAAAUACAAAUCACCCAAAUCAAACCACAUUGGCUAAAAUUGCUUAAUGGAAUUUAAAACUUAUGGCAGAAGCACAGGUAUAGUUUAUUUGGUUCUCAAAUGUCACUUUCCAUGUCUACAGUUCCUCCUUAAACUUCAUUGGCAUUCAUUUCUAUCCAACAUUAGCCAGUCAUCAACUUGACCACAAAUUGUAGGUUCACUACAAAUUCAUGUUAUCUACCUGGAGCUGGGUCCUUACUGCUGCUCUGCACUUCUUUUAUUAACAUCUAUUCUGUACUAUAAACCACAGCUUUACUCUGUUCAAGCCCACAAGUCUCUUUGUAAAAUUAUGCUUCAAUUUUGUAUUUAAAUUGCAUAACAAAAUAAUCACUUCCCCCAAAUCAGCUUUUUUUCUGUCAUCCCUAACAUAGUUAUACUAAAAAUCAAAGCAUAGACUUUGGAAUUAAGGAAGAUCUAAAUUUGGAUUGUGACUUUGCCACUUAAUGGCUGUGUGAUUUAGGGGACUGUUUAACCCCUCUGAGCCUAUUUUUCUCUGUAUCUUGAGGAGUAAUCCAAAUUUUGCAGGGUUGUUUGAGGGUCAAAUGACUUAUUUGAUGUACACACCCUCUCCUUCCCUAACUGGUUCCCAAUAUCUAGACAUCAAAUCCUACUGAUACUUUUGUAGACUCU